AUACGUAGGGUGCGAGCGUUGUCCGGAAUUACUGGGCGUAAAGAGCUCGUAGGUGGUUUGUCGCGUCGUCUGUGAAAUUCCGGGGCUUAACUCCGGUCGUGCAGGCGAUACGGGCAUAACUUGAGUACUGUAGGGGAGACUGGAAUUCCUGGUGGAGCGGUGAAAUGCGCAGAUAUCAGGAGGAACACCGGUGGCGAAGGCGGGUCUCUGGGCAGUAACUGACGCUGAGGAGCGAAAGCAUGGGUAGCGAACAGGAUUAGAUACCCUGGUAGUCCAUGCCGUAAACGGUGGGCGCUAGGUGUAGGGGUCUUCCACGACUUCUGUGCCGUAGCUAACGCAUUAAGCGCCCCGCCUGGGGAGUACGGCCGCAAGGCUAAAACUCAAAUGAAUUGACGGGG
rnacentral:rRNA from 1 species